rnacentral:tRNA from 1 species
UGGGGAAUCGUUCAAUGGCAGGACAAGGGACUUUGAAUCCCUUUAUCUAGGUUCGAAUCCUAGUUCCCCAACCA